AUUGAACGCUGGCGGCAGGCCUAACACAUGAAAGUCGAACGGUAACAGGAAGCAGCUUGCUGCUUUGCUGACGAGUGGCGGACGGGUGAGUAAUGUCUGGGAAACUGCCUGAUGGAGGGGGAUAACUACUGGAAACGGUAUCUAAUACCGCAUAACGUCGCAAGACCAAAGAGGGGGACCUUAGGGCCUCUUGCCAUCGGAUGUGCCCAGAUGGGAUUAGCUAGUAGGUGGGGUAACGGCUCACCUAGGCGACGAUCCCUAGCUGGUCUGAGAGGAUGACCAGCCACACUGGAACUGAGACACGGUCCAGACUCCUACGGGAGGCAGCAGUGGGGAAUAUUGCACAAUGGGCGCAAGCCUGAUGCAGCCAUGCCGCGUGUAUGAAGAAGGCCUUCGGGUUGUAAAGUACUUUCAGCGGGGAGGAAGGGAGUAAAGUUAAUACCUUUGCUCAUUGACGUUACCCGCAGAAGAAGCACCGGCUAACUCCGUG
rnacentral:rRNA from 1 species